rnacentral:sRNA from 1 species
CUUUAGCCCCGAUAGAAGCGAAAAUCCUUGUAUGUCUCGUCUUUUGGGACGAGACUCAUAAGAUUGAAGCGGAUAGCGGGACGAUGC